rnacentral:lncRNA from 1 species
AAAGGAGCAACUUUGGUGGUAUGGAACAAAACAUUUAGGUCGAAGAAUAAAGUAACUUCUUUUCCUUAUUCUAUUUAAUUUUUUCCUUUUAUAUGCUUAGAUUUAUAUUUAUGUUUGUUGAUUUUGUAUAAACAUGUGGAUAUAAGAUAAUGAAUAUUUUAUGAAUUUUGUAUCGCCUUUUCUCUUCCUAUUUUAUGAAUUUUCGUAUUGCCUUUUCUCUUCC